UAUUUGAUCAUUUUAGUAUUAAGUUUGUGAAGCAGGAUAAAUAAAACAAAAUAAACAAUAUUAUCUGAGUUACUGAAAUAAUUCAAGCUGGUUGGAAUGUGAAGUCGAUUGUCUUUAAAUAACCUGGUUUAUUGUGGAAAAUUAUUUUUAGCUACAGCUGUUCGUGAUCUACGCCAAAUUGGUCCAUUAAUGGCUUGUGAAAUAUUCAAAAAUUGCUAAGCUCAUAAAUACGCGACGCAUUGGUUUUCAAUUUGAACACAUGUUUGGGCCAAGUAAGUAAGCCAUUUGUAUACGGGAACGGGUAUUGCCUGCUCCUGUCUCAUGUUUGCCAAUAAGCCAUUGAUACUUUAAUGUAUGCACUGUUGGGUGACGGUUUACGUUGGCUCACUUCAGGAUUUGUAUUGGUUCCGAUUAUGUGAGUGUGAGUCAGUCUCGGCUUUAUGAUUGCGAGUACACAUGACAUACAUAUAUUAUUGGCGGUCGAAUAAAGCCACUCGUCGCGUGUGUACGUUUAUUUAUUCGAAUAUUAUUCAAACAAAGGCGAGAGUGAGUGGGAUGCAGCAAAUAUGCUCUCUUAAAAUGCAAUCGAUUAUCUUUUACUUCCUUAUACGUACAUAUAAAUAUACACGAAUAUUAUGUAGAUUUGUACUAAUAGAUGCCCCUAUAAACGUGAAAUUGAAUCAAUGUUAAUUCGAUCUAAAACACAUUGCGAAGCUGAAUCAAAUCUAUUUACAAUGUAAUUAAUGAGUACCAAGUAAAGUGACAACAGUCGAUGCCUCAAUAAACAACACGAGGACGAGGGCUCUCAAAUGACAGCCAGUGCGUAGAUGAAUAAAUAAGCCAUGACCACGCCCACAACACAUACUAAGCAUACAUGCACAUAGGAUACGCGUAUCCGUAUGUACGAACACAGAUGCGAUAUACGAGCAGUAAUAUCGUAUGAAUGUGGAACGCCCAUGGGAGGAAUAAAGAACUCGUACUCGUAUAUUCGUCACCAUUUGGUUACGCUAGCUCUGGGAUCAAAUCGAAAAUGGUAAUGAGCCCUCCAGCCUUUUGGCAUUCCGAUGAAUAGAACUGAGCCGCACAAGAAUACCGUAUACGCUCAUAUACAUACAUAUAUCCACGUUUAUAGGUAUUUACAUACAGACAUUCACAUUCUCUCAUAGUAAAUUUAUGUAUUGA